rnacentral:rRNA from 1 species
GAUGAACGCUGACAGAAUGCUUAACACAUGCAAGUCUUUGGCGAAGCUGUGCUUGCACAGCCUAGCCAAGGCGGACGGGUGAGUAACGCGUAAGGAACUUGCCCUGCAGUCAGGGAUAACAGACGGAAACGACUGAUAAGACCUGGUAAAGUCAGGCGGACUCAUGUCCAGCCUGAUGAAAAGAGAUGCUGCAGGAGAGCCUUGCGUCCUAUUAGCUUGUUGGUGGGGUAACGGCCCACCAAGGCGAUGAUAGGUAGCCGGCCUGAGAGGGUGGACGGCCACAAGGGGACUGAGAUACGGCCCUUACUCCUACGGGAGGCAGCAGUGGGGAAUAUUGGACAAUGGGGGCAACCCUGAUCCAGCAAUUCUGUGUGCACGAUGAAGGUUUUCGGAGUGUAAAGUGCUUUCAGCAGGGAAGAAAAAAAUGACGGUACCUGCAGAAGAAGCGACGACUAAAUACGUG